AUGCAUUACAAGCAGCACUGAGCGGAGUAAGUCCUGAUUAGUACUGGGAUGGGAGACUGCUUUGGAAGACCAGCAGCUGUGCAUGUUUCUCCAAGUAGAGCUGGAGCUGUGUCAGGAAGGGA